GGCCUGAUGGUCUAGGAGUAUGAUUCGUUGUUAGGGUACUUUAGCUUUUCGACGAGGUCCCGGGUUCAAUUCCCGGUCAGGCCC
rnacentral:tRNA from 1 species